CUGUCUCACCUUCACCCCCUUUUAAACCUAUUUAAAAGAAUAAGGAACUUAUUCAGGAACUUUAAGAACAUAAUUUUUUUAAACAAGAAAGUUAUGUAUCUCUAUCCAAGAUUCUAUAAACUUUUUUUUUCAUUUAGCAAAUAUUCAUCAAGCAAAUGCUAUAGGCCAAGACAUUACUUUAAUCCUUAGUAAAAGAUGCAGAGAUAAACAAGAGCUUUAGGGAGUUCAUUAUCUAAUAGGAGAAAAUAGACCUGUAAACUAACAGAAAUGUAGAGUGGGUAGUAUAAUUAAAGAGAGAAAUACAGGAUACAGUGCACACUCUGGUAAAAUCUGCCCUGGGGAUAUCAGGGAGGAAGGACUUGACUGGAAAAGACAUUUAACUCAGUUUGUUGAUUUUGGGUGAAUGAGGUAAGGCAGAGGAAGAGUGCUCAGUGCAAAGAGACCAUUUGUAAAGGCAGAGGCAUUAAGGAGCAGGCCCCGUCAGGGAUCUACAAGUAAUUUGAUACGGCUAGAUUUUAUGUUACCAGAGGUGGUAUCACAGGAUUACAUUUUUGAAGCCGAUAGUUGAGCCCAUUUAAUGUAUUUACUACUGUUUCAGAUGCCAAGAAUAUUCUAUCAUUUUUCUGUGUGUCUCAGAUCCUAGGUGACUGUCACUUGAACCCAAGGUGUUUUUUCCUGUUGUGAAAUGAUAUUGUAUAAAGAAAGCCUAGAUUUGUUUUGGUUGUUGCUGUUGUUUUACUUAUUUAUCAAAUGGUGGCUGUGAGCUCACUAAUUUUAAAUAUGAUCAGCUGAAUGGGUCAAAUUCUCAAAAUUAUUAAGGAUUCAUAAAAAAUAGGGUCAGGAGUUUCCUGCUGCCAUUUUUUUUUAAAUCAAUGAACACUACUUUAAAAAAUGGUGUCAAAGCUAUUUUUAAAGAAUCUAAAUAAUUUUUAUGGUUUUUAUUAUUUUCAAUAGAAGUUAAAGACCUUAUCCACUUCUAGGAGUUGCUUUCCAGAGAUUAAAAUAGACUAAAGCUAGCUUUGUACUGUGAUGGUUUUUGGCCAUAUUAUAAUUUGGCUUGGAUUGUGGGUUAAUGUACUAAAAUAACUAAAAUCUCUUGAAUACUAAACUAUUUUCAGAAGAGAUCUGUUUUUAAUCUAGUUGCUGCUUUCUUAAAACUACCUCCCAAAAUAAAGUGGCAAGGUCUGUGUUCCUCUCUUUUUAUUUUUGACAGUUAAAAAAACCAUCAUUAUUUUAAGGCUUCCAGCAGGCAUUCAUCAAUUCAAUAAGCAUCAUAUCCUUGUUUCAUCUGAGGUAUUUUAUAUAGAUAUUUAAGUUUUACUUACACCAUUUAUUGCCUUUAGAAAGCUUAUGUUCUCUUUUCCUUAUAAAAUUGUAUUGUCUUUUUACUCAAAAUGUAUUAAUAUUUUUCUGAUUACCAUAUUGGACACCUUGUAGGGUAGGUUAAUUGUCAGAUCAUUAAGGUACCAUCAGUACACAGACCAAAUUUAUAUUAAGGAAAUAACUAGGCCAAUUAUUCUGAAUAUGAGAUUGUUUCUCCUAUACACUUUAAAUAUAUAUGCACACAGCCAUACAGCCAUGUGUGGGUGUCCCAGGAUUAUAAUUUUGAGUAUAGAAUUAUGUAGCAGUUUCUAAAAGUCCUAAUGAAUAGAAUUUUUAUAAGUAUAAUCCUGCCUGGAUGUUGAUUUUUAUAAUUUCAAAGAUAUUUUCUAAUUGAUAUAUAGUAAUGAGUUGAUGGCAAAGAAUUGGUGAAAGAAGCUAGGAAAGCAGACUUUCUAAAUUGCUUUUGUGUUUUCUGUUAACAAGAGAAUGGUCUUCAACUCUAAUGAGGACAUUGGCAAAGGGCCCUGGAAGUCCAUCUUGGAUAAAAAGAUAGUUAAGAUAAGGCCUAGAAACUUUGAAUAAGGUCAGAUAUCCUGACUUCAAACACUAUGUGCACAAACCUGUAAAGGAGACUUUGCACUCUGGGGAAAAUAGGAGAGAGGCAAGUGGAGGCAGGAAGGACAAAGAGGAUGCUGGUUAAUAUAUGCCAUGAUCAAGAAAAAACAUGUCAAAUAAUUAAAGGGAGAAUAACUUGGGGUUUUUUAAAUAGUUUAUUGUCAAGUUGGUUUCCAUAAAACACCCAGUGCUCAUCCCCACAACUGUAAAGGGAGAAUAAUUUAUAAGCACAUAAUAGAAAUGGUGUAUGAUUCCUAGGAACUUGACAUGGGCUUACAAAUAAUAAGUCAUGACCCCUAAUGAUGACACUUGGAGGAAAGUUGGAAGAAUUGAGGAUCUUCAGCCUGUGGGAAAUUAGAAUAUGGGGGCGUGACACCAUACUGGAAGGGCUGCUGUGUGAAAGAAUAGUGCCAAAUGGUGGGAAUUUGUGGAGAUAGAAAUUUUUGACUGAAUUCUAGAAAAAAGCUUUGUCAACUAUCUAGUCUAGUGGCUUUGGGUCAGGGAGACAUAAUGUCAAAUACAGACUUUAUUAUGUGUGACUUUUGUCAAGUUUCAUAGCCACCUGGUUUCCUCAUAUUUUAAAAUGGGAACUAAUACCUAAAUCUUCAGGGUUCCCACAAAGAUCACAUUAAAUGUAUUAUGUCUCUUAAGGCAUAAUACCUUUGGCCUGUUGUAGGCAUUCUAGUCAAUGUUAUGUUACAGGGGAAAGCACGGAAGUUUCUCCUGGGGACACCUGCAUCCUCUAUUCAGUAUUUCUAAAUGGAAAUUUGAGUUAGUGUGCAAAGAUCCAGAAAUACUUUUGGCUGUAUCUCAAGAAGUUGAACCUGUGAUGAAUUUUUGAAAAGAAUUCAGACAUUACUGAUAAUCUGCUAUGUGGUAGGCACUAGUAUUUAUCAGAAACAAAUUUAUCUUCCAAGAGUUAACAGAUUCACUGGGAAGAAAGUCAUUUACAUGAUUAUAACUCAAGUAAGUGACAAGUGCUAUAGUUAAGUAACAAUGGCAGCUGAGAUUUAAAGCUUAAUGUUAACUGUGUAAAAAUAAUUAGCAUUUGAAGUGGCCCUUAAUAACAACAGUACUAUCUGCCUCGGCUAAGCUUGCUUCAGUCUGAGUGUGGCAAACCCCUUCCCCAGUAAACCAGCAGGAACCCCUGCCCACACCACACUCCCAACCGGAUCACUCCGCAGGGCUUCAGUUCUAGUGGAAGUAGUAUCAGGUCUCCUUUGAUAAGCAGAUCAGAGCACACCUAGUUAAAGCUGACCACAUUCUGGACAAGUACCAAGCAUUACCCCCUGCAGGCAAGGCCAGCCUCUGCAGAUGACUGGCCUGAGGGAUACGAGCAACCAAAACACAACUGCUGAGCGCACACAUACACAAGAGAUACUCCCUGAGGUGCCAGGCCCUGGACACUGUAGGACCUCUUCUUCAUAAAACCAUUACUCUCAGAAGCAUGAAACAUAAUGGGCUUUUCUAACACACAGAAGAAGGUAGAGACCUAGAAAAAAAUGCCAAGAUAGGAAUUCCAAGUGAAAGAACAAGAUGAGUGAAACAUAAGUAACAUGCCUGCUGGAGAAUUUAAAGCACCAAUCCUAAGGAUACUCACUGGGAUUGAGAAAAGAAUGGAAGACUUCAGGGAGGCCUGAACUCAUAGGAGUUAAAAAAAAAAAAGUUAGACAUGAAAAAUGCAUAACUAAGAUUGGAAACAGG